UAUAAGGGAUUUUGAGUUUUUGCUUGUAACGUUUGACCACUCGUCUUAUUCAAAUUUUUUUGAAAUUAUUAUUUAUUUUAUUUGUGACUUACUUUAUUAUCUACAGUACUUUAAGCACAACUUUUUGUUUUUAUAUUUGUAAAAAGAAUUUGAAUAAGACGAGUGGUCAAACGUUGCAAGCAAAAACUCAAAAUCCCUUAUA
rnacentral:pre_miRNA from 1 species